rnacentral:lncRNA from 1 species
AUAAUCCUUGUCUUCAGACAGUGAUUUUGAAAACUUUCAACCAUUCUUAUAAAAGAAAUAAAUUACAAGUUUAAUGUAAUUCAGUUUGAAUUAAAUACUAAACCAUACACAUAUGAUAUCUCGGAAAUUUCAAAUAUUUACUAGUUUACGUUAAUAUUUAUGUCAUAUAAGUUAUAAGAGCUUCAUCAGCUGGAGUUGUAUUCACCAAAUCAACUAUUUGAGUCUUCAAAGUAAGUGUGUCUCAUCAUACAUAAAGAUAUUCAUAGACAUGGCAAUGAUGCCCCUUGAAUUGGUCCCUUUUUUUAUAAUUUAUCAAUGGUCACAGUCAACAACUUCAUGUCCGGCAGUGAAAUCUGUGUAAGUUUGAAGUUUGUACUUUUCAAGGAGUUAUAGAUAACUGUGAUGAGAAUGAUGACAGAAAUGAUCCCAAUGUGUUUAAUACUACAGCUUUGUUGGAACUAGAAUCAGAAAAAAAUCCCCAAGUUUAGUUUGUCUUACCUGGCCUAUUUUGUAAUUUGAAAAAAUGUAUGUUAAAAAAACAGGAAAUUAUAAAGAAAAUGUUUCUACUCAUUCAGCUCAUCUGCUAUUUUUUUCAUGUCAGUCUAUCAUUAACCAUUUUGAAAGAAGACACCCUCUGGAUAUCUGAGGCCUAAUUUGGGUUUAUUCUAUAUAUCACACAAAGUCAGGUUUCAGAGGGAGAUUUCUAGAUACAAGACAUUUAAGGAGGUUCGAGGGUAUAAAAAUUUCAGAAAAAAAUCAAACAUUUGUUUUCAUUACAAAUUUUAUUUAUUUCUUUUUGUAGUUGUUACUUUAUCAUAUGGUACAAAAAAUCAUUCAAAACAAUCAAUUCGUGUUGGCCCCAGAUGACUUUCAAAAUGUAUACAUCAUUGAAAAAGUUCCAAAUUAUCUCCCUUUGGUGGAAAAAUGCCAUUUUUUGGCUCUAAAAUUGAAAUAUCUUUUUCAAAUCAUGGGUGACCUAUCUUUUUUAAUAUAAUUUGCUUAUAAGCAGUACUUAAACAAAAUUAUUGUAAAAUUUUAGCGAUUUCUGUAAUAAAUUUCUUUUUUUUAUUUCGAUAUUACCUUUGUUUCUCCUAUAACUUCAACAGAAAACAAACAGCUUUACAAAAAUGUAUGCUUCUUUCGAAGGCAGAAUGUGAGCGCAAAUGAACGGUGACCCCACUUUUUUAUUUUAUUUUUCUAUUAACUAUAAGAUAAAGUUCAUUUAUAGAAAAAUAUAGAGAAAUCCUAUAUAAAUGAUUUAGACCCGCGAACCCCCUUAAUAAGAAAAGUUUGUGUUUGUUCUUACAAGCAGACAUGUUAUAAAUAAAAAGAUAUAAAUGUAUAAUGUAAUUGUUCAGACAACAACAAUUCAAAUAUUUGAGAUAUCUGUUUUCAAACAUAAUCCUAUGCCUUAAAUAACAUAAAAAUUAGUAAGGGUUCCACGGAACCCAGUGUCUCGCCUACUUUUGCUGUUAAUCGCAGACUCAACAAAAAUGAGGAAAACAUCAAUAAAAAUUUCCCUCUCGAUACUGUCUUUUGAUUGAAAGAAGCUUCCAAGUUUGGUAAAAAAAUCCAGGAUAGUUUUUGAAUCUAAUAAAUGUUUUAUAAACUUUAACUGCAGACUGUAUGUAAUGUUAACUGGAAGAAAAACUAAGUCCAUUUAUAAGUAAAAUAC